GUCCGCGUGGCGCAAUGGAUAACGCGUCGGUCUACGGAACCGAUGAUUGCAGAUUCGAGUCCUGCCGUGGUCG
rfam:Toxocara canis scaffold114, whole genome shotgun sequence.